rnacentral:rRNA from 1 species
GACGAACGCUGGCGGCGUGCUUAACACAUGCAAGUCAAGGAGAGGGCUCCCUUCGGGGAGUUAUUAAACUGGCGAACGGGUGAGUAACGCGUAGGUAACCUACCUUUCAGAUGGGGACAGCCCCGGGAAACCGGGAUUAAUACCGAAUAUUAUCCGGCAGCACAAGUUGCGGGAUGAAAGGCGGCCUUCGGGUCGCGCUGAGAGAGGGGCCUGCGUCUGAUUAGCUUGUUGGUGGGGUCACGGCCUACCAAGGCGACGAUCAGUAGCUGGUUCGAGAGGAUGAUCAGCCACACUGGGACUGAGAUACGGCCCAGACUCCUACGGGAGGCAGCAGUGGGGAAUUUUGCGCAAUGGGCGAAAGCCUGACGCAGCAACGCCGCGUGAUCGAUGAAGCUUCGAGGAGUGUAAAGAUCUAUCCUAGGGGAAGAAACGUCCCGAUUUGAAUAAUUUCGGGAUUUGACGGUACCCUAGAAGAAAGCCCCGGCUAACUUCGCGCCAGCAGCCGCGGUAAUACGAGGGGGGCUAGCGUUGUCCGGAUUUAUUGGGUGUAAAGGGCUCGUAGGCGGGUCGAUCAGUCGGGACUUAAAUACCACGGCUCAACCGUGGAAGUGGUCUCGAAACUGUCGGCCUUGAGUUUGGUAGAGGAGGGCGGAAUUCCUGGUGUAGCGGUGAAAUGCGUAGAUAUCAGGAAGAACACCGAUGGCGAAGGCAGCCUUCUGGGCCAAAACUGACGCUGAGGAGCGAAAGCGUGGGUAGCAAACAGGAUUAGAUACCCUGGUAGUCCACGCCGUAAACGAUGAGUACUUGGUGGCGGGGGAUUCGACCCCUUCGCUGCCGGAGCUAACGCGUUAAGUACUCCACCUGGGGACUACGACCGCAAGGUUGAAACUCAAAGGAAUUGACGG